UGGGGAAUAUUGCACAAUGGGCGCAAGCCUGAUGCAGCCAUGCCGCGUGUAUGAAGAAGGCCUUCGGGUUGUAAAGUACUUUCAGCGGGGAGGAAGGGAGUAAAGUUAAUACCUUUACUCAUUGACGUUACCCGCAGAAGAAGCACCGGCUAACUCCGUGCCAGCAGCCGCGGUAAUACGGAGGGUGCAAGCGUUAAUCGGAAUUACUGGGCGUAAAGCGCACGCAGGCGGUUUGUUAAGUCAGAUGUGAAAUCCCCGGGCUCAACCUGGGAACUGCAUCUGAUACUGGCAAGCUUGAGUCUCGUAGAGGGGGGUAGAAUUCCAGGUGUAGCGGUGAAAUGCGUAGAGAUCUGGAGGAAUACCGGAGGCGAAGGCGGCCCCCUGGACGAAGACUGACGCUCAGGUGCGAAAGCGUGGGGAGCAAACAGG
rnacentral:rRNA from 1 species